GGUCAGGUCGAGUAGACCAAGGCGCUUGAGAGAACUCUGCUGAAGGAACUAGGCAAAAUGGUACCGUAACUUCGGGAGAAGGUACGCUGUUGUUGGUGAUGGAACUCGCUUCCUGAGCUGACGACAGCCGCAGAAACCAGGCCGCUGCAACUGUUUAUUAAAAACAUAGCACUCUGCAAACACGAAAGUGGACGUAUAGGGUGUGAUGCCUGCCCGGUGCUGGAAGGUUAAUUGAUGGGGUUAGCGUAAGCGAAGCUCUUGAUCGAAGCCCCAGUAAACGGCGGCCGUAACUAUAACGGUCCUAAGGUAGCGAAAUUCCUUGUCGGGUAAGUUCCGACCUGCACGAAUGGCAUAAUGAUGGCGGCGCUGUCUCCAGCAGAGGCUCAGUGAAAUCGAAAUCGCUGUGAAGAUGCAGUGUACCCGCGGCUAGACGGAAAGACCCCGUGAACCUUUACUGCAGCUUGACACUGAACUUUGACCUUACUUGUGUAGGAUAGGUGGGAGGCUUUGAAGCUGGAACGCUAGUUCCAGUGGAGCCGUCCUUGAAAUACCACCCUGGUAAUGUUGAGGUUCUAACUCUGUCCCGUGAUCCGGGACGAGGACCGUGUCUGGUGGGUAGUUUGACUGGGGCGGUCUCCUCCUAAAGAGUAACGGAGGAGUACGAAGGUGCGCUCAGCGUGGUCGGAAAUCACGCGUAGAGUAUAAAGGCAAAAGCGCGCUUAACUGCGAGACCCACAAGUCGAGCAGGUACGAAAGUAGGUCUUAGUGAUCCGGUGGUUCUGUAUGGAAGGGCCAUCGCUCAACGGAUAAAAGGUACUCUGGGGAUAACAGGCUGAUACCGCCCAAGAGUUCAUAUCGACGGCGGUGUUUGGCACCUCGAUGUCGGCUCAUCUCAUCCUGGGGCUGAAGCAGGUCCCAAGGGUAUGGCUGUUCGCCAUUUAAAGAGGUACGCGAGCUGGGUUUAGAACGUCGUGAGACAGUUCGGUCCCUAUCUACCGUGGGCGCUGGAAAUUUGAGAGGAUCUGCUCCUAGUACGAGAGGACCAGAGUGGACGAACCUCUGGUGUACCGGUUGUGACGCCAGUCGCAUCGCCGGGUAGCUAUGUUCGGAAGGGAUAACCGCUGAAAGCAUCUAAGCGGGAAGCCUACCUCAAGAUAAGAUUUCCCUAGGAAUUUAUUCCUCUAAAGAGCCGUUCGAGACUAGGACGUUGAUAGGUUGGAUGUGGAAGCAUAGUGAUAUGUGAAGCUGACCAAUACUAAUUGCUCGUGAGGCUUGACUA
rnacentral:rRNA from 1 species